rnacentral:rRNA from 1 species
UACAGAGGUCCCAAGCGUUGUUCGGAUUCACUGGGCGUAAAGGGUGCGUAGGUGGCGGGGUAAGUCGGAUGUGAAAUCUCGGAGCUCAACUCCGAAAUGGCAUUGGAAACUACCCUGCUAGAGGGUCGGAGGGGGGACUGGAAUACUUGGUGUAGCAGUGAAAUGCGUAGAUAUCGUGAGGAAGACCAGUGGCGAAGGCGGGUCUCUGGACAGUUCCUGACGCUGAGGCACGAAGGCCAGGGGAGCAAACGGG